UUUUCUUAUUUUAUUAGCAUGCUAAAUUAGUAAAUAUUGAUUUAAAUAUAAGAGUUGGGCUGGAAUACUAUUGAUAGCAAAAGGCAAUUCUUGCUAUCAAGUUUUUAACUAUUGGAUGAAAAUUUGUAGGGUUAGGAUGAUAUUACUCCCUUGGUUGAGUGGUCCUCCUAGGGUUGAGUGGUCCCCACUGGGUUAUAAUAUCUAAUCCAAUAGUUAAAAAUAAUGAAAAGAAUUGAUCCAAAGGCUAAAAACUUGAUAGCAAAAAGGGCCUUUUGCUAUCAAUAGUAUUCUAGCCCAACUCAUAAAUAUAAUUUAGUUGCAUGCUAGAAAAAAUUAGGAUUUUAACCUUCUUUCCAUGAGAAUGAAAAAAGUGAUAAAUUGCAUGUAGCAUGUGUGGUAUCUAAACCUUUGUUA
rnacentral:lncRNA from 1 species